rnacentral:rRNA from 1 species
CAUUCGCCCGGGAACAACGAGCCUCAGCUUAAAACCCAAAGGACUUGGCGGUGCUUUAGACCCCUCUAGAGGAGCCUGUUCUGUAAUCGAUACUCCCCGUUCAACCUCACCCCCUCUUGUCACCCCCGCCUAUAUACCGCCGUCGUCAGCUUACCCUGUGAAGGGCAAGCAGUAAGCAAAAUUGGCAGAGCCCAAAACGUCAGGUCAAGGUGUAGCUUAUGAGGGGGGAAGAAAUGGGCUACAUUUGCUGACACAGCAAAUACGGACAUUGCCCUGAAACGAGCAUUCGAAGGAGGAUUUAGUAGUAAGAAGGAAAUAGAGCGCCCUUCUGAAAAAGGCCCUGAAGCACGCACACACC